GUUUUAUUUUGUUUGUUCUUUCCAUUAUGUUGCGAUACUUGCGAGGGUUUUUUUUCUAAAUUAAAAAGUAUGAAACAGUACGAGAACAUGUAUCCCCUGAGGAAAUAUACAAAUCGCUUGCAGGAUGCGAAACAGAAUGAACAACAACAAAACUAGCAACCACCGACUGCAUCAACAUACAUAUCAGCAUCGAGCGCUACAGGAACAACCUAAAAUCUUGGCAAUGGCAACAAACAAUGCAAAGGCGAAGGCAAUAGCAAAGAAAAUCGCGUUUCUAACGUGCAUUAACAUCAUUCAUUCUCAUCAACGUGGCUGGAUUUAUCGGCAUGUCACGAUGCAGACCCACCAACAGUGUUUCAAGGACCGCAAUUAUGUUGCAGCAUGUAUGGGUUUAUACGAGCUUUGAUUGUAACUACUGAAACCAUGGUUGUGAUAUCAAAAAACUUAAAAUGUUCGAGUCUCAACAGAGGCCUGUUUCAA
rnacentral:sRNA from 1 species